CCCUACUGCUAUCGGGGUGGGACUAGGACAUGCUAGUCGAGCGCCUUGAGCUAUGGCGAGGCGCGGCGUACAGCUCAGUAACACGUGGCUAACCUACCCUUAGGACGGAGACAACCCCGGGAAACUGGGGCUAAUAUCUGAUAGGUGAGGAGACCUGGAAUGGUUCUUCGCUGAAAAGGUGUUGGAAACAUGCUUCUGACAUUGCCUAAGGGUGGGACCGCGUCCGAUCAGGUUGUUGGUGGGGUAAUGGCCCACCAAGCCGAUAACCGGUACGGGCCCUGAGAGGGGGAGCCCGGAGAUGGAACCUGAGACAAGGUUCCAGGCCCUAAGGGGCGCAGCAGGCGCGAAACCUCCACAAUGCACGAAAGUGUGAUGGGGUUAUCCCGAGUGCCGUCCGUUGAGGAUGGCUUUUCAUCGGUUUAAGGAGCCGGUGGAAUAAGGGGGGGGCAAGAUUGGUGUCAGCCGCCGCGGUAAUACCAACCCCCCGAGUGGUGAGGACGAUUAUUUGGCUUAAAGCGUUCGUAGCCGGCUUGACAAGUCUUCUGUUAAAUCCAGCGAUCCAAUCGUUGGGCUGCAGAAGAGACUAUCAAGCUAGGAGGCGGGAGAGGUUGACGGUAUUCCCGGGGUAGGGGCGAAAUCCUAUAAUCCUGGGAGGACCACCGGUGGCGAAGGCGGUCAACCAGAACGCGCUCGACGGUGAGGGACGAAAGCUGGGGGAGCGAACCGGAUUAGAUACCCGGGUAGUCCCAGCUGUAAACUAUGCAGGCUAGGUGUUGGGGCGGCUACGAGCCGCUUCAGUGCCGCAAGGAAGCCUUUAAGCCUGCCGCCUGGGGAGUACGACCGCAAGGUUGAAACUUAAAGGAAUUGGCGGGGGAGCACAACAAGGGGUGAAGGCUGCGGUUC
rnacentral:rRNA from 1 species